AUUUUCUAUUUUUUAAAAAUUUAAAAAUCAAUAAUGUUAAAAUUCAAUAAUAACUAAUUCUGAUAUUGAAUUUCGUGAUCUAUUUUAUAGAAAUUUUAUUAUAAUUGACAAUCGUCGAUAAAUAACGGCGUUAAAUCGGUAUCAAGAGAAAUAAAAUAUAGAUCUCUUUUCUUGGUAGACAGCAUAAAUUUAAUAUAUUUUAUCAAAACAAUUCGACCCGUUUGAAGCUUAAACUCAAAUUUUACAUUAUUUAAAAUUUUCAGGUCUGUCUUUUUCUAUCGCUAAGAAAUAUUUAGGAAAUGCGAAUUCAUCUCCUUGUGUCAACUAUUCUGCUGAUUACAAUUAAAAAGUGACGAAAAAAAUAUUUAAAUUCCGUUUGAAUAUCGAUCCCUUGUGCGUUAUUCAAAAUCAAUCGUGUGCACGAGGUGGGCUGAAACUACAAAAAAUUAUGGGCAUAAAAGUCCAACAUGUAAAAACAUGUAAAAAUAAUAAUAAUAGCAAUAUAAUUUCCUCCGUUCAACUUCAAACGUUACAUGCGCUAUAUAUAAAAUAUGUAGUAUAUUCCGUACGUUUUUCACGCGUCGCAUCAUUCGGUUGAACAAAAAAAAAAAAAAAAAUAAUUCCGCCCUAUUUGGGUUUGAUUUCUGGCAAACCAGUGGUACCGUUGGUCUAGCCGUCCGUCGUUCUCCCGCGCGCCCGAAGAAAAUGCGCGUGCUCCGCUAUCGACCAGGAACCCUAAUCCUCCUCCGCGUCCCUCUCGUCUCUUCUCACCCAGAGUCUCGGCCGGCCGUGGCGCCCGCACGCACUCUCGGUUGAAUCCGAGCUCGUCGGGGCGCGGCAACGCCUGUCGAAGCAUCUCCGUGGAACGUGUGCGGUUUUCCCCUCCGGGGGGGUGCUUCGAUGACAGACGGAACGUCAUCUGCGGCGCGAAGAUGACGAGGAAAAGACCGGCGGAUCGGUAGCCGAAGACACCGAAAAACGUCUGCCUCCUCCGAACGAAGACACGAGAAAGACUCGUAUGUCCUUGUUCGAUGUUCGAUGGUCUACAUCCGCGUCUCUCCGACGAGAGGAUUCUGCAUGGAAUAAAGGCAGUCGAGGGAUAUAUAUAUAUAUAUAUAUAUUCAAAUUGUCAGUAUAGUUAAGAUAACUAAAUAUUAAGAGUGUAACGACAAUAUCUUACUGCUGCGACUCGAAGUUGAGCUAUAAGAAAUUUUUACUAAUUUCUACUUGGGUGCUGUUACGGUGUCGAAACGGUGAAGUAUUCGUGAACAUGUAUUAUGCUCAAGCAUAUCGCACGUUGCAUCUGCGAAAUCACACGAUGGAUAUCUGAAAACGGCUGGGAGUUUUAUCUCCUCGAGUUCAUAUGUGCAAGGACGCAAGACUCGACCGAAUGAAUACAUUCGACAGCUGCACUUUUCUUGGAGAUGUCAUUAAGCUUAACACACAACCAAAUAGAUCUAGAAAGAAAAAAAUGAGCGAAAGACUAAGUAGGACGGAGAAAAGGCAGAAAAGAUAGUGUUGAAGCUCCGAUUAUUAGAUGAUUGCGAUAGAUCGCAGGUAGUUGUUAUCGUUGAGAAGAAUUACGACAGAAUAAGCAGUUGCAGAGGAAAUGAAAGGUUUCGUUUUUUCACACUUAAUGAAUUCGAGCAGGCCUGAUUUGAAUGAUCGAGUGCUUAUUUUUUAUUAUACAUAUCGAAAAGAUAUACGCUAAUAUAUUCAUAUUCAACACCUCUAAAAGAGAUGAUUCAUAGACGUAGCUAUGAAGAAUAAGAUCCGAGAGAAGUUUGAUUGAACAGCAUGUCGCACAAACGUAAAUUGAUCCGAGAAAUAAACAAAAGUUGACCAGCAUCUCGGAAGAGCAGCCUUGUCUGCUUGUUGACAGUUAUCGCUUAAUAUUCGUGCCGAAUCGAGAAACAGGAACAAAUCAUGAUGAUUAAACCGAAACGCCCCUUAAAUGAGCGUAACGAUAUAUUAUUAUUAUUAUACAUGCCGACUUAGAAAUGAUAGUGAUACUUCACAGUCAACGCUCCAAAAGUCUUCCAUUCGUGCAACGGCCGUCGGACGAAAGGCAAAACGUCAUCGACAAGGGGCUGAGUUGCACAUCGUGAAACACCCUCGUAAUUUCUUCGUAAUCGUCAUCUACUACAAAUUCCAUGGACCAUACGAACAUAUCACGACUUCGUAAAAGAAACGUGAGUUUAACGAUCGUUGAAAAAAAAAAGGAAGAAAAGCAACGAAAAGAGCGACAUUUUUUUGCCAGUCCUCAGCUUAGUUACAUAGACAAUCAUUGAGAAAAAAAAAAAAAA
rnacentral:lncRNA from 1 species